rnacentral:ribozyme from 1 species
UGCCCAGCAACUCCUAUCCCUACCUCCUCGUGGUACUGGCCGUAGUACAGAUAACCUUGGGGAAGA